AAGCAUUUAGAAGAAAUGGAAUGUUAAUUCAGCUGUGAACAAUGAGACAUUAUUGGACAAUAAAGGUGGAAUAUCCUCGAAUCCCUGGCACUGAUGCAAUUUUUUCAAGUCCAGCUGUGCACCCAGUGAAGUGUUGACAAUCUGCAGAGGCCCUUCAUUAUUCAUUGGAACCGUGACCAAUGGAUCCAGCCGGAGGAGAGGUUAUCAUCGCUGUGGCCUUGGUGCUGCGGAGGCACAGAGAAAUUGAGGAGGAAUAGAUGUACCAGCCCAGCCGAUAAGCAGCAACCUCCAGGGUCUCCCGAUCAUUCAUUCUCCGUGUAAAUAAAC